rnacentral:misc_RNA from 1 species
AACGCAAAUUGCACUCUCUUCGGAGAGUAUGCCUGUUUGAGGGUCAGUGUCAAUAAAGAUCGGCGUGUUGCUUUCGUGACGCUCCGGAGUUUGAGCUAUCUUAAGAACUCCCGGUUUUCAAGAGGCUUAAAAUUGAUCUAUUUUUUGCGCGCUUUUUAGACGUACAUAAAUCCUUUUUUUAUUCGUCCAUUUUAGUGCCAAAUUUUUUUUUAUUAGGUGCGAUCACGCUUGUGUUGUUUCGUGCCCAUAAUUUCUCAUCUUUUGACCUCAAAUCAGGUAAGGAUACCCGCCGAACUUAA